AAUAGAUACCCCGGUAGUCCACGCCGUAAACGAUGAGUGCUAAGUGUUAGGGGGUUUCCGCCCCUUAGUGCUGCAGCUAACGCAUUAAGCACUCCGCCUGGGGAGUACGGCCGCAAGGCUGAAACUCAAAGGAAUUGACGGGGGCCCGCACAAGCGGUGGAGCAUGUGGUUUAAUUCGAAGCAACGCGAAGAACCUUACCAGGUCUUGACAUCCUCUGACAACUCUAGAGAUAGAGCGUUCCCCUUCGGGGGACAGAGUGACAGGUGGUGCAUGGUUGUCGUCAGCUCGUGUCGUGAGAUGUUGGGUUAAGUCCCGCAACGAGCGCAACCCUUGAUCUUAGUUGCCAGCAUUCAGUUGGGCACUCUAAGGUGACUGCCGGUGACAAACCGGAGGAAGGUGGGGAUGACGUCAAAUCAUCAUGCCCCUUAUGACCUGGGCUACACACGUGCUACAAUGGACGGUACAAAGAGUCGCGAGACCGCGAGGUGGAGCUAAUCUCAUAAAACCGUUCUCAGUUCGGA
rnacentral:rRNA from 1 species